UACGUAGGGUCCGAGCGUUGUCCGGAAUUACUGGGCGUAAAGAGCUCGUAGGUGGUUUGUCGCGUUGUUCGUGAAAACUCACAGCUUAACUGUGGGCGUGCGGGCGAUACGGGCAGACUGGAGUACUGCAGGGGAGACUGGAAUUCCUGGUGUAGCGGUGGAAUGCGCAGAUAUCAGGAGGAACACCAGUGGCGAAGGCGCCGCUCUGGGCCGUGACUGACGCUGAAGAGCGAAAGCGUGGGUAGCAAACAGG
rnacentral:rRNA from 1 species